rnacentral:rRNA from 1 species
UAGCCGUAAACGAUACUCGCUAGGUGUCGGCCACGGUGCGACCGUUGUCGGUGCCGUAGGGAAGCCGUGAAGCGAGCCACCUGGGAAGUACGGCCGCAAGGCUGAAACUUAAAGGAAUUGGCGGGGGGAGGCACCACAACGGGUGGAGCUUGCGGUUUAAUUGGAUUCAACGCCGGGAAGCUCACCGGAUAAGACAGCGGAAUGAUUGCCGGGCUGAAGACCCUGCAUGACCAGCUGAGAGGUGGUGCAUGGCGUAGACGUCU